CAAACUAAAGCUUGUAUAGCAUUUUAGUUACAUUAAAAAGAUUAUUUUUAAUAAGGAAUAUAGUUUGA
rnacentral:tRNA from 1 species